UUCAACAAAUGUUACUGCGCAGACAGUGAUUACCGUUAAAACUACCAGCAGCAAGGACAAUCAAAAGAAGCAGCAUGAAGACAUACAGUUUGGUAUUGAUAAUUGUUCUUUUUGUCCAUACUUACUGUAUGGAUCCGCCUACGAAGUGCCCAUUGGUUUGCCCGAUGAACUGGAUGCCUUUUUGUGGAUCAGACGGACACACCUACAGCAACAAGUGUGAACUCGAUGCCUACAAUUGUCUCUUUAAAUUGAAGGUUGUGAAAAUUCAUGACGGUACAUGUAAGAAUAAUACAGUCAAUUAAGAUGCAACAGCAAUCAGCCAAAUGGGCCAGGAUUAUGAAAUACCAUUGUUAUUAAUUUGAUGAGGAACAACAAAUUAAGUAAAAUUAUGCAGUUGGAGCAAA